rnacentral:rRNA from 1 species
AGGAUUAACGCUGGCGGCGUGCCUAACACAUGCAAGUCGAACGAGGUAGCAAUACCUAGUGGCAGACGGGUGAGUAACGCGUGGUCAACCUACCGUUGAGUGGGGGAUAACUAGCCGAAAGGUUAGCUAAUACCGCAUACGAGUCUUGGGGGCAUCCCCGGGCCUUAAAAGGAGCAAUCCGCUCGAUGACGGGACCGCGUCCCAUUAGCUAGAUGGUGGGGUAACGGCCUACCAUGGCACCGAUGGGUAGCUGGUUUGAGAGAGCGACCAGCCACACUGGGACUGAGAAACGGCCCAGACUCCUACGGGAGGCAGCAGUGAGGAAUUUUCCGCAAUGGGCGAAAGCCUGACGGAGCGACGCCGCGUGUGGGAAGAAGGCCUUCGGGUCGUAAACCACUGUCGAAGGGGACGAUAAUGACGGUACCCUUGGAGGAAGCCCCGGCUAACUACGUGCCAGCAGCCGC